rnacentral:rRNA from 1 species
UACAGAGGUCUCAAGCGUUGUUCGGAUUCAUUGGGCGUAAAGGGCGCGUAGGCGGCUUUGCAAGUGACGGGUGAAAUCCCUCGGCUUAACCGAGGAACUGCCUGUCAGACUGCAUGGCUUGAGACCGGGAGAGGUGAGUGGAAUUCCCAGUGUAGCGGUGAAAUGCGUAGAUAUUGGGAGGAACACCAGUGGCGAAGGCGGCUCACUGGACCGGUACUGACGCUGAGGCGCGAAAGCGUGGGGAGCAAACAGG